rnacentral:rRNA from 1 species
GAUGAACGCUGGCGGCGUGCCUAAUACAUGCAAGUCGAGCGAACGGACGAGAAGCUUGCUUCUCUGAUGUUAACGGCGGACGGGUGAGUAACACGUGGAUAACCUACCUAUAAGACUGGGAUAACUUCGGGAAACCGGAGCUAAUACCGGAUAAUAUUUUGAACCGCAUGGUUCAAAAGUGAAAGACGGUCUUGCUGUCACUUAUAGAUGGAUCCGCGCUGCAUUAGCUAGUUGGUAAGGUAACGGCUUACCAAGGCAACGAUGCAUAGCCGACCUGAGAGGGUGAUCGGCCACACUGGAACGGAGACACGGUCCAGACUCCUACGGGAGGCAGCAGUAGGGAAUCUUCCGCAAUGGGCGAAAGCCUGACGGAGCAACGCCGCGUGAGUGAUGAAGGUCUUCGGAUCGUAAAACUCUGUUAUUAGGGAAGAACAUAUGUGUAAGUAACUGUGCACAUCUUGACGGUACCUAAUCAGAAAGCCACGGCUAACUACGUG